rnacentral:lncRNA from 1 species
CUUCGAUAGCUCUUCACCACAAUUUGAUGAUCAUAGAUAUCAAGGUCUCUUUGAAGCCAUCCAAGUAUCCGGCCUUUACAGAUAUCCACACAAGAUUGUCAUCUGAUCAAAGUAUCUGAUCUCACUGGAAUGCUAGCUCCCUUACAGAGAGAUCCUCUUUGAUGGUGAAUUUUUUUUUCUCUUUGUUGAAAAUCCUCUCAAGGAUUUCAGUAUUUCCUCUUCAUAGAUCGUGCUCCACACAUGA